GAUGAACGCUGACAGAAUGCUUAACACAUGCAAGUCUUUGGCGAAUCUGUGCUUGCACAGGCUAGCCAAGGCGGACGGGUGAGUAACGCGUAAAGAACUUGCCCUGCAGACAGGGAUAACAGACGGAAACGACUGAUAACACCUGAUACAGUUGCCGGCACGCAUGUGCCUGGCAAUGAAAAGAGAUGCUGCAGGAGAGCUUUGCGUCCUAUUAGCUUGUUGGUGAGGUGACGGCUCACCAAGGCGAUGAUAGGUAGCCGGCCUGAGAGGGUGAACGGCCACAAGGGGACUGAGAUACGGCCCUUACUCCUACGGGAGGCAGCAGUGGGGAAUAUUGGACAAUGGGGGCAAUCCUGAUCCAGCAAUUCUGUGUGCACGAAGAAGGUUUUCGGAUUGUAAAGUGCUUUCAGCAGGGAAGAAGAAAGUGACGGUACCUGCAGAAGAAGCGACGGCUAAAUACGUG
rnacentral:rRNA from 1 species